rnacentral:rRNA from 1 species
UCCUCCUUUUCGCAGCCGCGGGGAAUAUUGGACAAUGGGGGGGACCCUGAUCCCUCUCCUCCUCUUUCUUUCCUCCUUCUUUCGUUAUGUAAAGCUCUAUUAGCAGGUAAUAAAGAAAUGACGGUACCUUACUAAGAAGCCCGGCUAACUACGUGCCAGCAUCCUCGGUAAUACGUAGGGGGCCAGCUUUAUCCUGAUUUACUGGUUUUAAAGGGAGCGUAGACGUCUAUUCAAGUCUGGAGUGAAAGGCGGGGGCCCAACCCCCGGACUGCUCUGGAAACUGUAGAGCUAGAGUGCAGGAGAGG